rnacentral:piRNA from 1 species
GAUCCGUGGGACAUGGGCGAUAUUU